GGAUUCUGCGGGCCGAGCCCCGCCUGGGCUGCGCCGCCGCAGGCGGGAGAGGCUGAGGAUUCUUUUGGGAAGCCCCUCCGCCGGCUGUAACCCCAGGGCCGUGCCACCCUCCUGAUCACCGCAAGCAUGGACCCCCCAGCACGCUGCGGGUGGGACAGGCAGGGCCCCUGUGGGGUGGCUUGACUGGCCUGGAGUUGGGGACGAAGUCCCCGGGCUUGGUCCCCCGAGGGCUUGGUUGGGCGUCCCGGGCUGUUGUCCACACCAAGGGUGGCCUACAGAGGGAAGUGAGGACCUUGGGACUUCCUCCAGGACAGCCCUCGCUGUCCAAAUCUCCACCUGCUGCAGAGCUGCCUCCAGUCAAGCCCUUGUUUCCAGCUUUCUGUGCCCUAAAUAAACUUCUGCUGGGAUUGAGCCAUCAGCAUUCUGUGGUGGGCGUCGCUGCUGCGAGGUUGCCCUCGUGCACACAAGCUCCUCACAGGACUUCCAGGAUGAUAUGGAAGAGUGACUGAGAGCAGCCGCCCGGUGCUUCCCAACCUUAGAGGGAGGUCACGGGCAGUCUCCCUGCGAUGCUGGCCACAGGUGUGAGGAAGACAGUCCUUAUAGGAAAAUGCCCUCUCGUUCUUAUUCUCUACUUUAAAAAAUCUUUAAAUCAUGAGUAUAAUAAAUGUUAUCAAAUGCCAUAUUCCACAUCAAUAUAAUGAUUACAAUUUUGGUCUCGCUGUGUCGCCCAGGCUGGAGGGCAGUGGUGUGAUCUGGACUCACUGCAGCCUCGACCUGUUGGGCUCAAGUGAUCCUCUCACGUCAGCCUCCAAGUAGCCAAGACCACAGGCAGGCGUCACCAUGCCCAGCCCCCAUGAUGACUUUACUUUUCUUCUUGAACCUGAGUCCUGGAAGUUAAAUGCUCUAUUUCCCAGCCUCCCUUGCAGCUAGGAGCAGUCAUGUGACUCCAUUCUGGCCAACGAGAUACAAGAAACACUUGCUGACAGGUGCAAUCAGAAAGCGUUUGCUUUUCCAGUAACAUGUAGGACCAGUCACCUUUUUGCAUUUCCCCUUUCUUCUUGAUUCGAACAUUGCAUUGCCGUCAUGUUUGGAGAUGAGUCAGCCAUCUUGCAAAUAGGAGGCAGCAAGACUGAGGGAAAUGCCAUCCUGCUUCAGAGGGCAGAAUGGAAAGAGAAGCCUAAGAUGGCAAUGGUACGGUUGGGCAGCUGAGUCAGGACUGGGGCCACUGCCUCUCGGUUUCAAGGGAGAAAAAUAAACCCCUGUUUGUUGGCCUCAUGCUAGGUUGGAUUUUCUUUUACUUAAAGCCAAGACAUUUCUAACAUACAAAACCAGACACAUGUGCAUGCCACACGUACAUCACAAGUGAUCACAUGCUGUCCGACUAGCACCUCGAUUUUUCCACUGAACCAUCAGUCUUGCAGAUCAUCCUUUAUCAGUGCCUGGCAACUUGUCUUGCCCUUGUUUUCUUGGGUUUUUGUUUUUGUUUUUGUUUAAGACAAGGUCUCAUCUGUUGCCCAGGCUGGAGUGCAUUGGCACAAUCAUAGCUCACUACAGCCUGGACCUUCUGGGCUCAGCAGUCCUCCGUCCUCAGCCUCCCGAGUAGCUGGUACUAAAGGCAUGUGCCACCAUGCCCGG
rnacentral:lncRNA from 10 species